rnacentral:tRNA from 1 species
CGGGCGGUGGCUGAUUGUUAGGUGAUGGAUUGUAGCUCUGUUUAAGGAAUUUUUCCCCGCCUGAGA